rnacentral:lncRNA from 1 species
UGACCUCAGACACGUCCUAGCUGUGUGACCCUGGGCAUUUGACCCCCAUUGCCUAGCCCUUACCACUCUUCUGCCUUAGAACCAAUACACAGUAUUGAUUCUAAGACAGAAACUAAGGGUUUAAAAAAAAAUGAUCAUCUAGGGAAGAGGUGAUGAGGUCCUGAAUUAAGUGGAAGCUAUGUGAAUAGAGAGGAGGAGGUCAAAUGGGAACAUAUUCUCCCAAGACCCUUCUGUCAUCCAACAAGAGGGAAGAAGAAGAGAGGGGAAGAGAUUACAGAAAGGCAUGCAGAUUGGAAAGAGGAUAGGAAGGAAAGAAAAGAGCCAGCCAUCAUUUUUGUAUAUCCACUUGACUUCUGGGAGAUGCUAUCUUAUCUCUGACCCCUGUUAACAGGCAGUAAAAUAUAUUGCGCUUGAAUAUCAUCUAGCUGCAUUCACAGAACCCUUCUCUGUUUCUGGGACACUUCUGCAAUCUUAUCUGCUUCACUAAGCCCCCAAAUGACAACAAUCCCCUGCAUGUACCAACAGAGAUACUAGGGCCCAACAAAGUUAAGGAGCUUGCCCAAGACUACCCAACAAAUCAGUUGUCCUAAGCUCCCUACCUUACCUCCAGGAUAUUUAUAAUCUGCAUCUUUAUUUCACAGACAAGUUCAUGGGUUUCCUUAGAUUUGAGGCAAUCAACCUUUUUUUUUUUUAAGUGCUUUGGGGCUUACAUAUCAUUGCCUCUGUAAGAAAGAUAGUACAAGUUUUAUCAUCCCUAUUUUAUAGAUGAGGA